ACAGUCACACAUUAGAUACCCGCGUAGUCCUGGCCGUAAACGAUGUGGACUUGGUGUUGGAAUGGCUCCGAGCUGCUCCAGUGCCGAAGGGAAGCUGUUAAGUCCACCGCCUGGGAAGUACGGUCGCAAGGCUGAAACUUAAAGGAAUUGGCGGGGAGCACCACAACGGGUGGAGCCUGCGGUUUAAUUGGACUCAACGCCGGAAAUCUCACCGGAUAGGACAGACAUAUGAUAGUCGGGCUGAAGACUCUACUUGAUGAUCUG
rnacentral:rRNA from 1 species